CCUACGGGAGGCAGCAGUGGGGAAUAUUGGGCAAUGGGCGCAAGCCUGACCCAGCAACGCCGCGUGAAGGAAGAAGGCUUUCGGGUUGUAAACUUCUUUUCUCAGGGACGAAGAAAGUGACGGUACCUGAGGAAUAAGCCACGGCUAACUACGUGCAAGCAGCCGCGGUAAUACGUAGGUGGCAAGCGUUAUCCGGAUUUAUUGGGUGUAAAGGGCGUGUAGGCGGGAGCGCAAGUCAGAUGUGAAAACUCAGGGCUCAACCCUGAGCCUGCAUUUGAAACUGUGUUUCUUGAGUGCUGGGGAGGCAAUCGGAAUUCCGUGUGUAGCGGUGAAAUGCGUAGAUAUACGGAGGAACACCAGUGGCGAAGGCGGAUUGCUGGACAGUAACUGACGCUGAGGCGCGAAAGCGUGGGGAGCAAACAGGAUUAGAUACCCCAGUAGUC
rnacentral:rRNA from 1 species